AGUAAGCUUGCUGCUUCGCUGACGAGUGGCGGACGGGUGAGUAAUGUCUGGGAAACUGCCUGAUGGAGGGGGAUAACUACUGGAAACGGUAGCUAAUACCGCAUAACGUCGCAAGACCAAAGAGGGGGACCUUCGGGCCUCUUGCCAUCGGAUGUGCCCAGAUGGGAUUAGCUAGUAGGUGGGGUAACGGCUCACCUAGGCGACGAUCCCUAGCUGGUCUGAGAGGAUGACCAGCCACACUGGAACUGAGACACGGUCCAGACUCCUACGGGAGGCAGCAGUGGGGAAUAUUGCACAAUGGGCGCAAGCCUGAUGCAGCCAUGCCGCGUGUAUGAAGAAGGCCUUCGGGUUGUAAAGUACUUUCAGCGGGGAGGAAGGGAGUAAAGUUAAUACCUUUGCUCAUUGACGUUACCCGCAGAAGAAGCACCGGCUAACUCCGUGCCAGCAGCCGCGGUAAUACGGAGGGUGCAAGCGUUAAUCGGAAUUACUGGGGCGUAAAGCGCACGCAGGCGGUUUGUUAAGUCAGAUGUGAAAUCCCCGGGCUCAACCUGGGAACUGCAUCUGAUACUGGCAAGCUUGAGUCUCGUAGAGGGGGGUAGAAUUUCCCGGUGUAGCGGUGAAAUUGCGUAGAGAUCCUGGAGGAAUACCCGGUGGCGAAAGCGGCCCCCUGGACGAAGACUGACGCUCACGUGCGAAAAGCGUGGGGGAGCAAACAAGAUUAAAUACCCCGGUUAGUCCCANCCCUAAAAC
rnacentral:rRNA from 1 species